rnacentral:rRNA from 1 species
UAGUCCACGCCGUAAACGAUGGAUACUAGGUGUUCGGAGUAAUUAACCCUCUGAGUACCGCAGCUUAUGCAUUAAGUAUCCCGCCUGGGGAGUACGGUCGCAAGGCUAAAACUCAAAGGAAUUGACGGGGGCCCGCACAAGCGGUGGAGUAUGUGGUUUAAUUCGAAGCAACGCGCAGAACCUUACCUGGGCUUAACAUCCAGUGCAAACCUCAGAGAUGAGGUGUUCUCUUCGGAGACGCUGUGAUAGGUGCUGCAUGGCUGUCGUCGGCUCGUGUCGUAGGAUGUUGGGUUAAGUCCGAUAACGAGCGCAACCCACGUCGUCAGUUACAAGUGUCUGGCGAGACUGCCGGUGAUAAGCCGGAGGAAGGUGUGGAUGACGUCAAGUCAGCAUGGCCUUUAUGGUCCGGGCUACACACACGCUACAAUGGUCGAUACAAUGGGUAGCGAAGCCGCGAGGUGAAGCCAAUCUCGCAAAGUCGAUCUCAGUUCGGAUUGC